GGGGAAAGGCUGGGCGGGGUGAGUAACGCGUGAGAAUCUAUCUUCAGGUCGGGGACAACAGUUAGAAAUGACUGCUAAUACCGGAUGUGCCGAAAGGUGAAAGAUUAAUUGCCUGAAAUUGAGCUCGCGUCAGAUUAGCUAGUAGGUGGUGUAAGAGACUACCUAGGCAUCGAUCUGUAGCUGGUCUGAGAGGACGAUCAGCCACACUGGAACUGAGACACGGUCCAGACUCCUACGGGAGGCAGCAGUGGGGAAUUUUCCGCAAUGGGCGAAAGCCUGACGGAGCAAUACCGCGUGAGGGACGAAGGCUUUUGGGUCGUAAACCUCUUUUCUCAAGGAAGAUAAUGACGGUACUUGAGGAAUAAGCAUCGGCUAACUCUGUGCCAGCAGCCGCGGUAAUACAGAGGAUGCAAGCGUUAUCCGGAAUGAUUGGGCGUAAAGCGUCCGCAGGUGGUUUUGUAAGUCUGCUGUUAAAGCGUGUGGCUCAACCACAUACAGGCAGUGGAAACUAUAAGACUAGAGUAUGUUAGGGGUAGAGGGAAUUCCCAGUGUAGCGGUGAAAUGCGUAGAGAUUGGGAAGAACACCGGUGGCGAAAGCGCUCUGCUAGGACAAUACUGACACUGAGGGACGAAAGCUAGGGGAGCGAAUGGGAUUAGAUACCCCAGUAGUCCUAGCCGUAAACGAUGGGAUACUAGGCGUUGCCCGUAUCGACCCGGGCAUUGUCGUAGCUAACGCGUUAAGUAUCCCGCCUGGGGAGUACGCACGCAAGUGUGAAACUCAAAGGAAUUGACGGGGGCCCGCACAAGCGGUGGAGUAUGUGGUUUAAUUCGAUGCAACGCGAAGAACCUUACCAGGACUUGACAUGUCGCGAACCCUGCUGAAAGGUGGGGGUGCCUUCGGGAGCGCGAACACAGGUGGUGCAUGGCUGUCGUCAGCUCGUGUCGUGAGAUGUUGGGUUAAGUCCCGCAACGAGCGCAACCCUCGUUUUUAGUUGCCAUCAUUAAGUUGGGCACUCUAGAGAGACUGCCGGUGACAAACCGGAGGAAGGUGGGGAUGACGUCAAGUCAGCAUGCCCCUUACGUCCUGGGCUACACACGUACUACAAUGCUACGAACAAAGGGCAGCUAGUUAGCAAUAACAUGCAAAUCUCAGAAAUCGUAGCUCAGUUCAGAUUGAAAGCUGCAACUCGCCUUCAUGAAGUCGGAAUCGCUAGUAAUUGCAGGUCAGCAUACUGCAGUGAAUUCGUUCCCGACCUGUACACACCGCCCGUCACAUAUGGAAGCUGGUCACGCCCGAAGUAGUUAUCCUAACAGUUCGCUGGGGGAGACUCCGAAGGUAGGGCUGGUGACUGGGGUGAAGUCGUAACAAGGUAGCCGUACCGGAAGGUGUGGCUGGAUCACCUCCUUUUUAGGGAGACCUACCGUUCCUUGUCGUAAUACGUACUUUAGUACGUUAAAAAACAACAAGAAGGUCAUCACCUAGGUCGGUUGUUAAUGCAAUGUGGCUAUCAAACUGUAUUAUUUGGUUCGUUAUGGGCUAUUAGCUCAGGUGGUUAGAGCGCACCCCUGAUAAGGGUGAGGUCCCUGGUUCGAGUCCAGGAUGGCCCACAUUUUGGGGGUUUAGCUCAGUUGGUAGAGCGCCUGCUUUGCAAGCAGGAUGUCAGCGGUUCGAGUCCGCUAACCUCCACAUUUACAUAACAUUUAUUAGAAGUAAGUGUAUGUAUAGUUAUGGAAAAAUUCAGCAACUUUGGUUAGUAAUAUAACAAAGCCUGCUGGAUGUAUGUCCAGUAAGAACCUUGAAAACUGCAUAGUGACGCAAAUUGUAGGCAGUAAACGUGUUGAGUUGAAUUACUUUCGUAAUUAGAACGAGAAGGCACGGGU
rnacentral:rRNA from 1 species